rnacentral:rRNA from 1 species
AACGAACGCUGGCGGCAGGCCUAACACAUGCAAGUCGAACGCCCUAGCAAUAGGGAGUGGCAGACGGGUGAGUAACACGUGGGAACCUUCCCUAUAGUACGGAAUAUACCAGGGAAACUUGGAGCAAUACCGUAUACGCCCGAGAGGGGAAAGAUUUAUCGCUAUAGGAUGGGCCCGCGUAGGAUUAGCUAGUUGGUGAGGUAAUGGCUCACCAAGGCGACGAUCCUUAGCUGGUUUGAGAGAACGACCAGCCACACUGGGACUGAGACACGGCCCAGACUCCUACGGGAGGCAGCAGUGGGGAAUAUUGGACAAUGGGCGCAAGCCUGAUCCAGCCAUGCCGCGUGAGUGAUGAAGGCCUUAGGGUUGUAAAGCUCUUUUGCUGGGGACGAUAAUGACGGUACCCGGAGAAUAAGUCCCGGCUAACUUCGUGCCAGCCGCCGCGGUAAU